rnacentral:pre_miRNA from 1 species
CAACUACUCCCUCCGUUCGGAAUUACUUGUCGCAGAAAUGGAUGUAUCUAGAUGUAUUUUAGUUCUAGAUACAUCCAUUUCCGAGACAAGUAAUUCCGAACGGAGGGAGUAGGAG